rnacentral:tRNA from 1 species
GCCUCGGUGACCCAAUCGGCAGAGGUGCCCGGCUCAAACCCGGGAUCUGCGGGUUCGAACCCCGCCCGAGGUAC